rnacentral:rRNA from 1 species
UAGUCAUAUGCUUGUCUCAAAGAUUAAGCCAUGCAUGUCUAAGUAUAAGCACUUGUACUGUGAAACUGCGAAUGGCUCAUUAAAUCAGUUAUCGUUUAUUUGAUUGUACUUUACUACAUGGAUACCUGUGGUAAUUCUAGAGCUAAUACAUGCGAAAAAUCCCGACUUCUGGAAGGGAUGUAUUUAUUAGAUUAAAAACCAAUGCGGAUCUUCGGGUCCGUUUUCUUGGUGAUUCAUGAUAACUUUUCGAAUCGCAUGGCCUAGAGCCGGCGAUAUUUCAUUCAAAUUUCUGCCCUAUCAACUGUCGAUGGUAAGGUAGUGGCUUACCAUGGUUAUAACGGGUGACGGAGAAUUAGGGUUCGAUUCCGGAGAGGGAGCCUGAGAAACGGCUACCACAUCUAAGGAAGGCAGCAGGCUCGAAAAUUACCCAAUCCCGACUCGGGGAGGUAGUGACAAGAAAUAACGAUACGGGGUCUUAAUAGGUCUCGCGAAUUGGAAUGAGUACGAAUUUAAAUCCUUUAACGAGGAUCGAUU